CUGAAUCAAAUCAUAUGCUACAUAUACUUUGUUGCUGGGCUCAAAUAUGGACAUCACACAAUAGGCAAAUAAGAACUAGUACUGUUUAAUCUCUCAGUUAUAGUGAUGGGUUGUGUCCUUUCUGAAGCUUUUAAACAUUAAUUCUCAGUUUUAACAGGGCGUGUAUGGAAUCUGAGAUUGACAAAGACAGUGAUAGAUU
rnacentral:lncRNA from 1 species